rnacentral:rRNA from 1 species
UACAGAGGUCUCAAGCGUUGUUCGGAUUCAUUGGGCGUAAAGGGUGCGUAGGCGGCGCGGUAAGUCGGGUGUGAAAUCUCGGGGCUUAACUCCGAAACUGCAUUCGAUACUGCCGUGCUUGAGGACUGGAGAGGAGACUGGAAUUUACGGUGUAGCGGUGAAAUGCGUAGAUAUCGUAAGGAAGACCAGUGGCGAAGGCGGGUCACUGGACCGGUACUGACGCUGAUGCGCGAAAGCUAGGGGAGCAAACGGG